rnacentral:rRNA from 1 species
AUUGAACGCUGGCGGCAGGCUUAACACAUGCAAGUCGAACGAGCGGCGGACGGGUGAGUAAUGUCUGGGAAACUGCCUGGUGGAGGGGGAUAACUACUGGAAACGGUAGCUAAUACCGCAUACCAUCAGAUGUGCCCAGAUGGGAUUAGCUAGUUGGUGGGGUAAUGGCUCACCUAGGCGACGAUCCCUAGCUGGUCUGAGAGGAUGACCAGCCACACUGGAACUGAGACACGGUCCAGACUCCUACGGGAGGCAGCAGUGGGGAAUAUUGCACAAUGGGCGAAAGCCUGAUGCAGCCAUGCCGCGUGUGUGAAGAAGGCCUUCGGGUUGUAAAGCACUUUCAGCGAGGAGGCGGUACUCGCAGAAGAAGCACCGGCUAACUCCGUGCCAGCAGCCGCGGUAAUUC